rnacentral:lncRNA from 1 species
AGAGAUCGGAUGAGCUCAAACUCGCACUCAGAUAAAAUAUGUAUAUAUAUAAAAUACUGAUCACAAGUAAGGAAUAAAACAAGUGGAAAUUUUUAUGACUGAGUUUUGGUGAAAUUUUAUCUAUUAUUCAUAGGAUGGCAUUCAAAAAUUUACAUGGAUUUUAAAUAUAGAUGGAUGCACAAAAACGAAGAAAGCACUUGCGAAAUUGAAGAAUUUCAUAACAGGAAUUGAAGAAAUACUUUUGCGAAAUUGACGAAUUCCAGAGGAAACACUUGCAAAAUUGAAGAAAUAGAUGGAUUUUACAUAGAAUUCCAGAACAACAAUAACAGAGGAACAAUUGCGGAAUUAAUACACAGGGGAAUGGCGGAAUCUGGUGUUGUCUGGGAAGAUCGAAGAUGACGACUGGUGUUCAAGGGGAAUGGCGGAGCGUCCAAGGUCGUUUUUCUCUCUCAAUCAGUGACUGAUGUUCUAUUGGAAAGGUUGAAGACGACGGCUGUGCUGCACUUGCAGUAAGGGGCGGAGCCGGGGGGCUGAAGCCCCCUCCCAAAUUUUGAGAUUUUUAAAAAAUAUAUAUAUAGAUUUCUCGGGGACGGUGCAAGUUCAGCCCCCUCCCAAAUUAAUUGCUGGCUGCUUGCAGUGCUCAACCUCAAACUCCCGCCCAUCCCAGCAGAUAAGAUUAGCGCCAUGUGGCGCUUCGGUCAUGGUGCCAAGAGAUACGGCACUGAUCCAUCCAUAUGUGGUCGCAAAAUGGAAAUAUAACGGAAUAUGACAUCCAACGGCCCAGAUUCAGCGUCCGAUGCAAACGGAAAAACAAAAACCGGAAAAACGGAGAAACAAAAAAGAUUGGGGCACCUCUCCUUCCUCGUCCGUCUCUGUCUUUGUCUCAACCUCAAGUCUUCGUCUUCGUCUCAGUCUCUAUAAGUGAUUGGGGCCGACAUCUAAGGAGGACUUGACUCAAACGGAGCUAGACAGUCAGCGUACCCUUCUUUGCCAUCCAUCUUCUUCAUCAGCCAAACAAAGCCAACUUACUCAUCCAAGACAAAGACAAACGAUUUCAAGAGGAACUCAAAUGCAUAUUCUCAAAACAACAACCUUAGCUCAUCAACUCAUACCAAGCCAUCAAGACACUCAUCCUCAAGUCUUCGUCUGCGUCUUCGUCUCCGUCUCUGUCUUUGUCUCAACCUCAAGUCUUCCUCUUCGUCUUCGUCUCAGUCUCUAUAAGUGAUAGGGGCCUACAUUUGUAUGGACCACGAGAGAGUAGGUGUGGAAAUAACAUCUAAGGAGGACUUGACUCAAACGCAAAAAACAAAAAAGACAUCAAAAGCCACACCCAUCAAGACUCUCAAGUCUUGUAAUAUUUGUGUAUAUAGCUUGCAGUUAUUAGCGACUUAAUUAUCAUAAUACAAUCACAAUCACAGUUAUUAGCGAC